rnacentral:rRNA from 1 species
UACGAAGGGGACUAGCGUUGUUCGGAAUCACUGGGCGUAAAGCGCACGUAGGCGGAUAUGUCAGUCAGGGGUGAAAUCCCGGGGCUCAACCUCGGAACUGCCUUUGAUACAGCAUAUCUUGAGUCCGAUAGAGGUGGGUGGAAUUUCUAGUGUAGAGGUGAAAUUCGUAGAUAUUAGGAAGAACACCGGUGGCGAAGGCGGCCCACUGGAUCGGUACUGACGCUGAGGUGCGAAAGCGUGGGGAGCAAACAGG